CCUCAAGAUGAGAUUUCCCAGUAUGUAAGACCCCUUGAAGACGACGAGGUAGAUAGGCUGGGGGUGGAAGUGCAGCAAUGCAUGGAGCUGACCAGUACUAAUCGGUCGAGGGCUUAUCCAAUA
rnacentral:rRNA from 1 species